ensembl:lncRNA TEX41 testis expressed 41
CGAAGGGGAAGAAAAGCUGUAUCGAUUGUUGAGAUCUGGCGACUUGUUUAAAUUUCAUCAGCCUCACUUCUAUGAACUCUCAGGCCUCACGUGUACCAGCUCUCUGCUCUCCUUUGCCUUGGGACGUUCCAUCCCUGGAAGUUUCCCUGCCCACAUCUUUGUAGAGAGUCCAUUCUCCAAGCUUCAGUGUGUCAUCUGUGAGGACCGUGACCCACCUGGUACAUCGCCUCAGGGCAUUCAUUUCAGGCUCCUUCUAAAUGGCCAAGAGACAACACCAACAUUUUUGUAAUGGCCUGCAAGGCCUUCCGAGAUCUACCUCCUGCAACUCAGCUUCUCCUGUGCUCUCCUUCUGGACUCACUCUGCCUCAGCAACACUGGUCCCUGUUGCCCCACCAAUAUGCCAGGCCAUGAGAGAAGCAGUACCUUAUAAUGGUUCCUUGUUCAAAGCACUCAAUAUUCCUAGGAUGUGGUCUCCCAGCUGACUUCAUAACUGAAUCAUCAGUAAUUAAUUUCAUUGUUCUAUUAGGACUUUACUGAAGACUCUAAGGAGGACCUGUAUCUGUUGGGAUCCUCAGGGCAAGCCACAGAAACAAGCUUUGGAUACUAGAAGCAGAAAAUGGAGAUAUUGAAGACUAUUGUGGAGUUUACUGUGAGCCAGAGAACCAGGCUGGGGGGCUGUAUCACUUAGAAUGAGAUCCAAACUCACACCAUAGUUCCAUCCUUGAGGUUGCCAUGUUGCUGCCACCCCUCCUGCCACCCCACCACUGAAGCUUUGGAUGCUGGAUUCUGGGCACAGCAGGGAGAAGUGUUGCUUAUUACCAUUUUAGUAUGUUUUCUUUCAAGACCUUUUCAAAAUAUACAUACGUAUUUUUAUUUCUAUUCAAAAUGGGAUACAUUUUUGAAGGUUAGCAAUAUAUUGUGAACAUUUUCUUUCCAUGCUCAGAAACAUUUUUCUAUAAUGUAAUUUAUAGUGAUAUAAACUAUCUCAUAGACCUACCAUAGUUUACCUAACAAAUCCCAAAUCAUUUGUGCCAUUUCUAAAUUUUUAUUAUUUUAUGUAAUGCUUUAAUGAACAUCCUUGCAUUUAUAUUUUAUACAAUUUUAGAAGUGGAAUUACUGGUUCAAAAUACAUGGUGAUUUUUAAUUCUUCUGUUGAAUAUUGACAAAUUGCAAUCCUGAGAGUUAUCUUGAAGGAUAGAGUACAUGCCCAGGGUUCUUUUUUAAGAAAUAAUUUGUAAUGUGAAACAGAAUAGGCUAAAUGUUUUUUAUUCUCUUAGUCCUACUCUGUCAUUCUGCAGAGUUUCACUUAUUUGGAUUCAAAUUCUAAUUCCAGCCUACCUCUCUUUUUAUAUAAUUGUUAGGAGGAUUAAAUUAGAUGCAUAAAAUUGCUGCUUACUACAUACAUUGCACAAACUAAAAACUUUUCAAAGGUUAACUGUUUUUCUGGUUUAUUUUUAAGACACAGGUUCUUGCUCUGUUGCCCAGGCUGGAGUGCAGUGGUGUGAUCACGGCUCACUAUAGCCUCAUCCUGCUGCACUGAAGUGAUCCUCUUGCCUCAGCCUCCUGAGUAGCUAGGACUACAGGCACGUGCCACCAUACCCAGCUAUUUUUUUAAAAAUACAUUUUUGUUGAGGCUGGGUCCCCUUUGUUGUCCAGGCUGGUCUUAAGCUCCUGGCCUCAAGCAAUCCUUCCACUUCUACCUCCCAAAGUGUUGAGAUUAGAGGUGUGAGCCACUCCACCUGACCCAAAGGUUAACUAUUAUUAUUGUUAUUAUUAGUCUGUUUUUUUCCAUUCAUUUCCUCAUUAGUCAACUUUUAUUGUUUCAAUGUUAUUUUAUUGUUUUUCAAAGACUCCUUAUAGUCACAAUAUGUACAUAAUAAAUUUUACCCUUUAAGGACACUGAGGUUCCAAAUGAAAAUGAUAUUUUUAAGGUGAAACAAUUAUAGAUAGAAAAACAACUUUUUUUUCUGUGAGUACUAGAUUUCAUAUUAUCCUUAAUGUCUUUCUAGGUAGUAACCAAGUGAUUUCUCAUAAACUGGAAAACAUUAUUCCCACUGAUAUUCUUAAAAACAUUUAGGAUUAAAAAAUGUAUUUUAAA